CCCAGACUCCUACGGGAGGCAGCAGUGGGGAAUAUUGCACAAUGGGGGAAACCCUGAUGCAGCGACGCCGCGUGAGUGAAGAAGUAUUUCGGUAUGUAAAGCUCUCUCAGCAGGGAAGAAAUAGCGACCUUUGGGUCGCCAGACGGUACCUGAUUAAGAAGCCCCGGCUAACUACGUGCCAGCAGCCGCGGUAAUACGUAGGGGGCAAGCGUUAUCCGGAUUUACUGGGUGUAAAGGGAGCGUAGACGGCAGCGCAAGUCUGAAGUGAAAUGCCGGGGCUUAACCCCGGAACUGCUUUGGAAACUGUGCAGCUAGAGUGCAGGAGAGGUAAGUGGAAUUCCUAGUGUAGCGGUGAAAUGCGUAGAUAUUAGGAGGAACACCAGUGGCGAAGGCAGCAUACCGGCGGCGAUCUGACGCUGAGGCACGAAAGCGUGGGUAUCGAACAGGAUUAGAUACCCGAGUA
rnacentral:rRNA from 1 species